rnacentral:rRNA from 1 species
GACGAACGCUCGCGGCGCGCUUAACACAUGCAAGUCGAACGGAAAGGCCCUGCUGUUGUGGGGUGCUCGAGUGGCGAACGGGUGAGUAACACGUGAGUAACCUGCCCUUGACUUUGGGAUAACUUCAGGAAACUGGGGCUAAUACCGGAUAGGAGCUCCUGCUGCAUGGUGGGGGUUGGAAAGUUUCGGCGGUUGGGGAUGGACUCGCGGCUUAUCAGCUUGUUGGUGGGGUAGUGGCUUACCAAGGCUUUGACGGGUAGCCGGCCUGAGAGGGUGACCGGCCACAUUGGGACUGAGAUACGGCCCAGACUCCUACGGGAGGCAGCAGUGGGGAAUAUUGCACAAUGGGCGGAAGCCUGAUGCAGCAACGCCGCGUGCGGGAUGACGGCCUUCGGGUUGUAAACCGCUUUCGCCUGUGACGAAGCGUGAGUGACGGUAAUGGGUAAAGAAGCACCGGCUAACUACGUG